CAGUAGCCACGGUAAUACGAAGGGUGCAAGCGUUAAUCGGAAUUACUGGGCGUAAAGCGUGCGUAGGCGGUUUGUUAAGUCUGUUGUGAAAUCCCCGGGCUCAACCUGGGAAUGGCAGUGGAUACUGGCAAGCUAGAGUGUGUCAGAGGAUGGUGGAAUUCCCGGUGUAGCGGUGAAAUGCGUAGAGAUCGGGAGGAACAUCAGUGGUGAAGGCGGCCAUCUGGGACAACACUGACGCUGAGGCACGAAAGCGUGGGGAGCAAACAGGAUUAGAUACCCGCGUAGUCCCUGUCUCUUAUAC
rnacentral:rRNA from 1 species